rnacentral:rRNA from 1 species
GAUGAACGCUGGCGGCGUGCCUAAUACAUUCAAGUCGAGCGAACAGAUGAGGAGCUUGCUCCUCUGACGUUAGCGGCGGACGGGUGAGUAACACGUGGAUAACCUACCUAUAAGACUGGGAUAACUUCGGGAAACCGGAGCUAAUACCGGAUAAUAUAUUGAACCGCAUGGUUCAAUAGUGAAAGACGGUUUUGCUGUCACUUAUAGAUGGAUCCGCGCCGCAUUAGCUAGUUGGUAAGGUAACGGCUUACCAAGGCAACGAUGCGUAGCCGACCUGAGAGGGUGAUCGGCCACACUGGAACUGAGACACGGUCCAGACUCCUACGGGAGGCAGCAGUAGGGAAUCUUCCGCAAUGGGCGAAAGCUUGACGGAUCAACGCCGCGUGAGUGAUGAAGGUCUUCGGAUCGUAAAACUCUGUUAUUAGGGAAGAACAAAUGUGUAAGUAACUAUGCACGUCUUGACGGUACCUAAUCAGAAAGCCACGGCUAACUACGUG